rnacentral:lncRNA from 1 species
UCCAGAGGGUGGUGGUUUAGUGGGCAACCUGUGUGUUGCUUAGUCAAAUUCUAAUUCAUCUAGAGUUAGGUGGUUUAGUGGGUGGUGUGGUAUCCGCUUAGAAAAGUCUAUAUUAAUCAGUGAGGGUUAGUAUAGUGGGCAGUGUUGUAUCUACUUAGGCUCAUUAAGUAAUAAGUUGUAUUACUUAGUUUAGAGAUAAAUGAGAACAUGGGCUAUCUCACUCAAAGAUUUCAAAAAAUCAUGAGAAAACAUGGAGUUCUUAUGAAGAAAGGAAAUCUUGACAAGGCUACAAACUCAAAUGACUUGUGUUUCAAAUGCGGUAAACUAGACCACUUCAUUAGAGACUGCCCUAUGCACAAGAAUGAACACAAGAAAUGUGUCAAGUCCGGAGGAGACAAGAACAAAAGCGGGGACCAGGUCCAUGACAAGUCAAGCAGAAGAGAAACUGUUGACCAUGCGGUGAAGAAAGCUCUGGCAGUCUUGGGAAAUACCUCAGGUGAUUCAGAUGAUUCUGAACACUUUGAUGAUGCUUUCAUGGCAAAGUUAGAUGAAGAAGCCGAAAAAGAGGUAAUCCUUUCUGACCUUAAACAAAAUUUGCAUGUUUAUUCUGUUAAAAAGUUGAGGAAUCUAGCCGCUGUUUUGAUUGACUCAUUCAUUGAGUUAACAACUGAAAAGUAUCUGAUGAACAACAACCUAGAUACCCUUCGGGAAGAAAAAGUAGCCUUGGUUGACCAAAUGUUUGUUGUGGAAGAACAAUGGAUGGUUCUAGAAGCUGAAAAUCUAGAACUUAGGGAAAAAUUAAAGGUGCUGAGUGAGAAAUGUGGCAGCGGUAAGGGGGAGGCCAACAACUUGUAAAUCGAGCUAGAAACCAGUUUGAAUACUGCUGAAUCAAAACUUGCUAUGGCCUUGGAGAGAAAUAAUUAGUUAGAGAGGGAUCUGGUCCGUGUCAAAGAAGAAGUGAACAUAUCUCUCAAAUGGACCACCUCUUCAAAAUUGCUUGCCAAUCUUACCAGUCAGGGUCAAAAUGAUGGGAGGGGGUUAGGAAAUUCAAGAAAAACUUCUUCUUACAAUCUCCAUAGCAAAUAUGUGUCCGUGCCUGACAAUUUGCUGUGUUUUCAUUGUGGUCGUGAUGGCCAUUUGAAGAAGAACUGUUCAGCUUGGAAAAUGAUCCAAGAGAACCUUUGAAACUAUUCCAAACAGAGGAACAAAAAGAAGAAUGGAUCAGAUCAACAGAGGAACAGGUAGCAGAAGGGACCUGGUCUUGCUUCUGGUCCUUAGUUGAAAAAAAUCAAUCUGCCUCACUGGACAAAGAAUUAUCUUAUCACUCAUUUAUCUGCUUACUGGGAACUCCAACUAAAGUGGGUUCCCAAGGCUAACAAGUGAUAUGGUAUUCUUGUGAGAGGAAGUAGCAACAGUCAGUAUUGGUUCAUGAAUAGGGGAUGCUCAAAGCACGUGACUGGGAAACUGAAAGCUUCUUCUCUCUCAAGACACUUCAAUGUGGAUGUGUCUUAUUUGGUGAUGGCAAGAAAAUGUAUGUUUUUUUUGUGAAGGCGUGUUUGGAAAAUCUAUGGAACACACUAUUGAGGAUGUGUACUAUGUCAAUGGUUGAAGUACAUUCUUUCAAGUGUUUCACAAAUUUGUGAUGAACAAAAAUGGAGUCAAGUUCUUAUUAUAUAAAUGUGUGGUCACAAACUUUCUCUCUCGGGUGAUGAUCUUAACAGAAAAGAGAUGCAAGAACAUGUAUAUUGCUGAUCUGAUUACUGCUCGGUGUGACAGUCUCACUUGCCUUAGUGCUCAAAGUGAGAAUUCUGAGGUAUGACAUGAGAUACGUGCUCUUGUGAAUGUUUCUCUACUGCACAAACUUGUGUCAAGGGACCUGGUCCUGGGUCUGCUCAAAAUGAAAUUUACAGAUGACAAAGGUUGUGACAAUGGUGUUGAAGAGAAACAGAUCAGACCAUCCUUCAAGUGGAAUAAGAAGACUUUUAAUCUUUUAAAGAACUUUCGAGCUGAAGUGGUGAACACUACAUGUUUUGUGACCAAAAGGAUGAUAUUGAGAGGUUUGAUCUCAAUAUUGAUGAAAGAAUAGUUACGGUAUACUCCUCUUCAGCAAGGCUUAUCGGGUGUAUAAAAAUGUGGUCAUGUGAUUUGUUUUUGAUGAGUUUGGAAGAGUUGAGAAGUUGAGAAAGAAAGAAGAUUCUGAAAUGGAAGGGUUGCUUUAGAUUCAGAGAGAUAGUUUUAGUAGUGAGCUUCCUGAAGAACAUCCUCUUCAUGAAUGCAACAAUCUCAAGUAAGCCAAUGCAGAUUAUGAAUCUGAUGAGGGACCCGGUCCUGUAGACAGUGAUGAACAGAUGAUGUAGUUCAAACUGAUAAUGUGAAUUCUGAAGGUGAGAAUGAAGAAGCUGAUCAAGCUCAGUUUGAAAAAAGCAAAUUAUGACACUCGGUUCCCCAACAAGCUAACAGGUUGUCCAAGUUCCUCUCAACAAUGGUUUCAAAAGAGGUAAAAUUGACAAAACCCUCUUUUUGAAAUCACAAGGAAAUGAAUUGCUGCUCCUUCAAGUGUAUAUUGAUGAUGUCAUCUUUAGAGCAACCUUUUGAGUUGUUGUGUGAAGAGUUUGCGGCAUUCAUGGAUAUAGUGAGUUCUAAAUGAGCACGAUGGGAGAUUUCUUCUUAGAGCUACAGAUUCAGCAAACCUCUAAAGGUACCCUCAGUUGUCCAGAAAAGUACAUCAAUGAGCUGCUCAAAUGGCUUAACAUACUUGAAGUCAAGACAAUGAUAAAGAGGGGUAAUGUCAUCAUAAAGUUUUGUAAAAUGGAAGAUCAAGUGGCUGACAUAUUCACUGAAUCCCUAAGCAAGGACCAAUUGUAUACUCUCAUAGGAACUUAGCUACAGAGAAGAUAGCACAACGUUCAAGGCAAUUGAUGUCUGAUCAAAGACAGGGACCUGGUACUAGUUCAGAAAAGUCACUGAAAAAUUUCAUGCUAUGGAUGCCUAGACAAUUCAUACUCUCAUGGGCACUAACUUGAAGCUGGAUGAUGAUGAGCCUGGUUAAGAGAUUCCAUUCUUGUACAAAGGAAUCACAUUUGAAGGCUGUUGAGAAAAUCUUGAGACAUUUGAAGAAGACAGGGGACCCGACCCUAUUUUGCCCAUCAGGAGACUUUUUGAUUUGGAGUACAUGGUGAUGCUGAUUAUGCUGGGUAUCAAGUUGAUGGAAAUAGUACCUCAGGAGUGGCUUAUGCUAUAGGCUGAUCUCUCACUCAUGGGGAACUAAAAGGCAAGAUUCAGUUGCUCUUUCAUCAACUGAGGCAGAGAAUGUAGCAAGUGCAGCUUGAUGGGCUCAAUCUUGUGGAUCAAGCAGCAGCUUGAAGCUAUUAGAAAGCCUAGCCAAGGUAAUCAAACUGAAGUUUGCAAUACUGAAACAUUUUUGAAUGGAUUCUGCCUGAAGCAAUCAACUCUCUCAUGACUAUGCAAAGGGAGCAGAUAUCCUUGUUUUUAUGUUAUGUAUGUUUUAGCAAGUUCAGUCUCUUACCUUUUGUAGGUAUACACACAUGGAAAAAGGGCUGAAGGAAAAUGGCGCAAGUUCAGUCUCUUACCUUUUGUAGGUAUACACAGAUGGAAAAAGGGCUGAAGGAAAAUGGAGGUCAGGACAGAUCUAGGCAAUCACAUUCAAACUAACAAAGGGACCCGAUCCGUUCUCGAAGCUUAGCACUCUUAACAUUGCAUUUUGAAUUAUGCAUGUGAACCGUUGCAAUUGCCACAUGUCUGUCAUUCAAGUAUCUGACCAUUGUCCCAUCUUUUGAAUACCAAAAUGACACUUUCUUCUACAUAAUACACCAUUUCUUUUCCUUUAUACUCCAUAUUUCUUUUCAAACCCCUUCCAAAAUCAUAAAUUUUCAAAACCUUUUUUUCUACUUUCUCAAAAAAUACUUCAAAUGUGUAAACCCUCUGCUCAUACUGGAGAAUUUUCUGAUGAAGAUGUUUUUAAGUGUGAAGAGGGACCAAGUCCUACAAGAAAAAAAGGAGAUGUGAGAAAGAUGAUGUUCAAAAAGGAAAAGGUUGAUGUUUUGAGAACUCAAAGUAUUCUGAAUAGGGGGUGUCUGAAAAAUAAAAUAAAAUUUGGUUCCUCAAUUAUUUAUCUAUUCAUCUCGAAGGCCUUGAAUAAGUUUGAUUUCAUCAAUCUUUCUGUCAUGAGAAACUCAGGCUUGCGUUGGAAGUUAUGAUAGUUGCUAUUGCUAAUAGGGAUACUGAAAUGGUUUGCCUUAAGGCUUAGCUUUUGAAACAGCUCAAUCAGAGGGACCAGGUUAAAAAAAAAAUAAAUAAAAUUAGCAGCCCUGAAGGUUCAACAUUAAGGCUGGGCAGCAAAGAAUGUGAGCUUUAAAAGAGGCUUCUGAUGAUACCAUGCUAAGGGAUAUGCUCUACUAAUUCUAUUCUUUCAAUCCCUUGUCUCUAAGUCAUUCCUUCUCUUCCUAACUUUCUAAGUCAGUCCUCAUUCCUCUUUUUCUAUCGAACCUAAGUGGGUAUUGUUUUGGUUUUCAUUUGUAAUCAUAUUUGCAAUACUUUGAUGAUUGAUCUUUUAUUUAUGAAUGAAAAAUGCCCUGCUUCUACUGGCUUGUCUCAUUACUUUAUGCAUUUUUUACUCAUGCUCAGUGUUGCCCCAAGGGCCAUGAAUUUGCUGAACUGCAUUUUUGUCAACUUGGUUUACUGCUUUAACCCUUUUUUAUGAUGUCAAAAGGGAGGAAAUUGUUUAGGUAUGAGAUUAAUGAUGUUAGCUAUUUGAAGAAGACAUGGGUCAUGCCGAUAGGGGAAAUCAAUGCUAGCUACUUGAAGAGGACAUGGUCAUGCCGAUAGGGGGAAGAAGUUGAACAAGUUUGUCAUCAUCAAAAAGGGGGAAAAUGCUAUUUUGAUGUUUUGACAAACUUUGGGGAUGAUGAAACUCCAGUUACCCGAAGAGUUCUUAUUGAUAGGGGGAACUGGUGAAUAAGUCUGUUAUCAUCAAAAAGGGGGAAAAAUGUUAUUUUGGAGCUGAUGAUAAGUUUUGAUGAUUUAACAAACUUAAAGAUCUAACAAGGAACCAGAUCCUUGUUAUUGGGACUGAUCACAGUGAGCUGAAUGAACAAACUCAGUGUGAGGAAUAUUUGUGUGUCAUCAUCAAAAAGGAAGAAAAUGUUAUAUUCUAGGUGCUUUGAUGAUCCUCACAAAUGUAGGGACCUGAUCCCUGGCUAAGUUCUCUCGUCCAGAUCUAUAAUGGGAUACAACUUUAAAGGUGUCGUGUUAAAGGUUGGUGAAGCGUCAGCGUACUACACAGAGUGGAAACAGUUGUUUGUCCAAUGGUCAAUAACUCUUUAUGGUUGACUUAGUCAACAUGACAAACAACAAAUUAAUUCAUUCAUUCAAAAGAGAAGAGAGCCAACAAGCCUUUCAAGAACUCAUAAAGAAGUUUGCAAAGGACCUGGUCCCUGCAAGAUUUCUUACGUGAAAAGGUGACAAGACGACUGUCAGAAAAGCUGCCACCUCUAAUGUGGUAGGUGCAUAGUUUUUCUAAACAGCAGGCCUUCAGCCAAUAGGAUUGUUUCAAUGAGUUUGUGUUGAUUUAUAUUAUCUCUUUCCAAAAUACACAAACUCAAGAUUUGGCAAACAAAACUUGGAUUUUCUCUGAAAGUUCAGAAUCUUGAAAAGAAGGCCAUCUUCAAGGAAGAACAAUACUCAUGCUCAACAAAGGGACCUGAUAGAGUGUUGAAGCGUCUUUCUUGAGUUUGAGUUUUGUCAGUCUUUGCAUCUUGAAAAUUCUCAAGUAUACAAGCAAAGACCAUCUUGGUGAAGUAUUCUCCGACAAGCGCAACAAGAACUUGAUCGAGUUGCAAGCGUCAUAGUGUGUCUUAGGAGUUAUACUUCCGUGCUUACAUUGUAAAUCUGCUCCUAAUCUAUAAAGGAUUCAGAUCUUGUUUCGAUUUCUAAAAGUCUAAAUCGUCUAGAGGGUGGUGGUUUAGUGGGCAACCUGUGUGUUGCUUAGUCAAAUUCUAAUUCAUCUAGAGUUAGGUGGUUUAGUGGGCGGUGUGGUAUCCGCUUAGAAAAGUCUAUAUUAAUCAGUGAGGGUUAGUAUAGUGGGCAGUGUUGUAUCUGCUUAGGCUUAUUAAGUAAUAGGUUGUAUUACUUACUUUAGAGAUUAG